rnacentral:misc_RNA from 1 species
UCUCCGUAGGUGAACCUGCGGAGGGAUCAUUACUGAGUGAGGGCCUUCGGGCUCGACCUCCAACCCUUUGUGAACACAACUUGUUGCUUCGGGGGCGACCCGGCCUUCGGGCGUCGGGGCCCCCGGUGGACCCAUAACACUGCAUCUGUGCGUCUGAGUGAUCAAUCAAUCAAUUAAAACUUUCAACAACGGAUCUCUUGGUUCUGGCAUCGAUGAAGAACGCAGC